ACCUUACCUGGCNUGACAUGUCUGGAAUCCUNCAUAUAUGCGGNNGUGCCUUCGGGWAUCAGAACACAGGUGCUGCAUGGCUGUCGUCAGCUCGUGUCGUGAGAUGUUGGGUUAAGUCCCGCAACGAGCGCAACCCUUGUCCUUAGUUGCCAGCGGUUCGGCCGGGCWCUCUAGGGAGACUGCCGGUGACAAACCGGAGGAAGGUGGGGAUGACGUCAAGUCCUCAUGGCCUUUAUGUCCAGGGCUACACACGUGCUACAAUGGCGCGUACAGAGGGAAGCCAAGCCGCGAGGUGGAGCAGACCCCAGAAAGCGCGUCGUAGUUCGGAUUGCAGUCUGCANCUCGACUGCAUGAAGUCGGAAUCGCUAGUAAUCGCGGAUCNGCMYGCCGCGGUGAAUACGUNCCC
rnacentral:rRNA from 1 species